AAGGUGAUAGUUUAUCUCUUUUUUCUUUAUGUUGUGCAAAUUUAACCUAGGAUUAUUUUGAGAUUACAAAAGCCUAUUUUUGUAUGUGUAAAUUAUCUAUAGCUUGCACUGGGUUCAUGGAUUGCAUUGAUUAAGAAAGGUAAUGAAUGGGAAAAAGCUCUAAAGGAGGCAAGAGAAAUCAUGGAGAAGUUAGAAGAGGAUAUAAAGGGGAAGAAAUUCUUUGGUGGGGACACUAUUGGGUACCUUGAUCUUACUCUUGGAUGGAUCACUUGUUUUCUUCCAAUUUGGGAAGAAAUUGGGUCAACGCAGAUACUUGACCCAUUAAAAUGUCCUUCCAUCUCUUCAUGGAAGAUCAACUUUCUGAGCCAUCCUAUCAUCAAGGAGUGUUUGCCACCAAGGGAUGAAAUGAUUCUUUAUUGCCACCGUCGCAUAAAGGAGUAUUCUUCAACUCAUCGUGGUUAAUUGGUUAUUGAUAUUUAUGCAUGCAUGCAUGUUCGAGUUUCAUUUGAUUUUCUGAGUAACUUAUGUAUCAUAUAUAGUACUUUGUGUUGUGAAUUAUGUAACGCUAAAUAAAUUAGUUUGGAAGCCUUGUAAAUGAAUGGAAAUUAUGAAAGAUGUGGCGACACUUAUGGUGUGCUACCUUGCUUGCUAGAGUCUUUGGGAUAUAUAGACUCGGUUCUUGUCAAUGCUCUUCAUUGGCUAUCCUCUCUUAAUUUUGGUACAUUCAUCGUAGAAAUGCGACGUAGACUUAUCAAUCACCCUAGAGCAUAUAUUUUAGUAUCAGGUGCAAUAGUAAACGCUUGUAGAUAUCUUUUGUGUGUGUUUGGUACAGCGGUGUCGAGAAUUGAUUUUGAUAGAAUUGAGUUUAAGUGAAUUGAUUUUGGUUAAAAGUGAGUUGAAUGUGAAUAGAUUAUGUUUGGAUACACUUUACUAUAAGUGAUUCUCAUGUUUGAAUAGUUUGAAUCAAAAUUAAUUUUGAAUGUCUAAUAACUAAAUUAUCCUUAUAAUUAAAACUAAAUAUUUCAUUCUUAAUUAAAAUAAUUAUUUAAACUUAUCUAAAAUCAUAAAUGGAUUUUGAUUUGUUCACAAAUUUAUUUAAAAAUAAUUUCAUAUUAUAAGAGUUUUUUCAUAAUUUUUUUUUUAUCAAUUGAGUUAUUUUUAAUAACUCCCUCACGUCUCCCACUCCCCAUGCUUCAUUUCUCCAUAAGCCUUCACUUCUACCCACUAUCCAUUUCCAUCUUUUUCUCCACCUCUCAAUACUCUACAUUUUCCUUUUCCAUCUUCCAUUUCCAUCUUCUUCUAACCUUUUCUUCUUCCCAAUUUCACCAUUUUUCUCUCAUACCUUUUCUCCAUUACUCAACUCACCAAUUAAGAACAAAUCUCUCCAUCACUCAUCACUAUUUUCCUUUUUCAUCUUUUUCUAUCUAUUUCAUCUGCAAAUCCAACAAAAUUAAGAUAGAUCAGCAAAAAUAAAGAAGAAGAAAGAUGUUCUUUUUGAGGAAGAAGAAGAAGAAAAAUGUUUAUUCAUAAGAAAUUGGGGAAGAAAACAUGGGUAUAUUGGUAACUAUACAUGUCAUUGUAAUCAAAAUUGAGUUUCACAAAAGCAGAAGUUAAGAAUACCAGCUUCUGUUGUAUUGGCGUUUUGAGAUCAAAACUGAGUUUCCUGAAAGCACUUUUUAUUCACCCAAACAAAAAAAAAAAAAUCUGGAAACCACGUUUGAAAAAGUGAACUCACGUUUCGCUUCUAAAAAAGUGAUGCCAAACACAUACUUUGUCUUUCUUCUCAAACAUAGAGUCGGGUUGCAAGUCGUGCCCGUCUAUCCGUUUGUUUCCUCGUGAACUUAGUUCAAUUGGUAGGGACAAAUGCAUAAUAUAUGCAAGGUCUAGGGUUCGAACCUCGUCCACCACAAAUUAAAUAUAGUAUGAUCAAUUUUUUUUUGGAAAUAAGAUUAAAAUAAGUUGUCAAAUUAACUAUUUUUUAAUCAAUAAUUUAAAGGGUUAGUUUUUUCAAAAAAUUUAAAAGGUUAAUCGUUCAAAUUGACCAUAUAAGAUAUGCGAAAUCUAAAAAAAUGAUCAUAUAAAGAAAUACAGAUUUUAACCUAUAAUUUGAGAUACUUUAUAUUUUUAUCUCUCAUUUUUCUAUGUAGACAUAAACUUCAAAAAAAUUGACUUAGAGAGUUUUUUUAUGAUUUUUUACAAGCAUGUUUGAGACGUUAAAAUACGUCCUUCCUUAUAAAAUUAUAAUUUUUCGAUAAGGGACGGAUUCACUGUAAAUUUUUAAAGCGUCAAUUACUCAAAAAACAAAACAACAGAAACAUUGACCUACAAAUCGAAUUUUGAGCUGUUUUUUUUCCCUGCAGAGAUAUCUAUAAAAAUAUAUAGAAAGGAUAUACAGAGUUUCAUAGCAUUUUAAACAAACCUCAAUUUAUUUUUAUUUUUUGAUAUUUUUUGAUCUAAACGUGCAAAAUUGUUAUUUUGUUUUGAGUAAGCAUAUAUUUACGCGUCAAAUUUUAUUCCCUAAUUUUACUAUCUUGAUCACAAUAUCAUAAGAACCUACGCCAUAGAAUUUUAGAGUUUUUAAAUGAGAGACAAAUCAAUUAUGAAUUUUGAUUUCCCCUAAUUAUAAAAUUCUGAGCUUGAUUUUAAGGUGGUGAUAUAUAGCUUCCAUUUAAAUAAAAAAGAAUUUUCUCACAUUGGUUUAUUACUCGUGAUUGUAUUCGUUCUUUGUCUAUUUUUAGUAUAAAUUCUUUGAUAGAAUUCAUUAGAAAACAAGCAACCACAUAUACAACCGGUGCUCUGCUCAUGAUUUUGAUGUUAUUCAUGAUGUCCUAAUGAUAUCACAUAAGUUUGUUUGUCUAAAAUAACUCCACUCGCUAAUGGUAUCUUAAUAACUUAAUAAGAACAACAGACAACAUUUUCUACAUAAACAAACUUGUUAUUAAAUUAUUCUAGAUAUAUCAUCCCCUAAAAAAUAAAUUAUUUUAGAGAAGACCAAUGUUAUAGAAGUAUCAUUCUCACCAAUAACAAGAGAAAACAUUGUGUAACGAGGCCACUCCCAAAAUAUAAUAAUAACAACUAUAUUGAACAAAAUCAUAUCAUUGGAAAUUAAGUCCAAACAUUCUUAAGCCGGCCUAACCAGCUCAUGCCUUGCAGGACCUAAGCAGGACAUGACCUUGUCAAUGUCACCCCACAAUGUCUUACACAUAUGUUCAUUUCUCAAAUGUUAAUUCUAUUUCAUCAUUUCUCACAUUCUAUAAUAUUCUUCAUUCACUUUAUAAUUAUUUCUCAUUUCAUCAUUUUUUUUUUUCCAUCUUAACUCUAAUCAUGUUUCAUGAAAGAGAAUUCAUCUCUAUUAUCAUUCUCUUCAUGAUAGCCUUUUGUUUCUUACCAUCCUCAACAGCUGACACAGAUGCUCAAAUUCUAGUGAACUUCAAAAGCUUCUUAUCCAAUGCAGAUGCUUUAAACAAUUGGAGUAACGAUUCUAUUAAUGUGUGCACAUGGACUGGUUUAAUAUGCAUCAAUCAAACUAUACUUCAUGGUUUGAGACUAGAAAAUAUGGGACUAAGUGGAACAAUUAAUGUUGACAUCCUUAUGAAAUUGUCCAAUUUGAAGAGUUUUAGUGUUAUUAACAAUAAUUUUGAGGGUACAAUGCCUUCAUUCAAUAAAAUUGUGGGAUUAAGGGCAUUGUUUCUGACCAAAAAUAAAUUCUCUGGUGAAAUUCCUGAUGAUGCUUUUGAAGGGUUAAGAUGGCUCAAGAGAGUAUUCUUAGCAGAAAAUGGAUUUAAGGGUCAUAUUCCUAAAUCCCUUGCUCAAUUGCCUAGACUUUAUGAUAUUGAUUUACAUGGAAAUAGCUUUGAUGGCAAUAUACCAGAUUUUCUACAGAGUGGUUUCAGAGUGUUUAAUUUAUCUAACAAUCAAUUGGAGGGUGCAAUACCAGAAGGUUUGAGAAAUGAGGAUCCAAGUGUUUUUGCAGGUAUGCAAUUAGUGUUUUAUUUGUUCUUACUUAUUACUAUAAGAAAUUCAAAACAAAUAUCCAAAUUUAUUGUUAAUUUUCAAUUGAUUCUGACUAUUUUGACAAUAUAGUCGGGUUUGAUCUCUAAGAAAAAUGAAACUCGAGUUACUUACUCCUUCAUACAAAUAUUAAUUAUAAUCAAUCUUACAGAUUUCUUGGAUUUUGAUUAUGACUUUGUUCCUGUUCCUAGGAACCAUUUUUAGAUAUGUUUUAUCUAAUAUUUCUUGUGCAACAGGCAACAAAGGUCUGUGCGGAAAACCUCUUGAACAGCCCUGCAGCGAAAGCCAUAGUGCUCCGCGUGAAGAAGAAAACGAAAAAGAACCUAAGAAACGCCAUGUUCUUAUUAGUAUUAUUGCAUUUGUGGUAGUGCUUAUAUUGGCUUCAAUACUGGCACUUUUGUUCAUUCGAUACCGUAGAAAGAAAGCUGCAGAAAAAUCAAUUUGGAAUAUGGAGAAUGCACAAUCACAGUCUCAUAACACCAACACCAGUACAGCUUCCACGAGUGAGGCCAAAUCAAUUGUAGUUGAAUCCAAGAAAAACAAAGAUGAAGAUUUGAACUUCGUUACGAACGAAAGGGUUGAGUUUGAUUUGCAGGACUUGUUAAGGGCCUCAGCAGAGGUUUUGGGAAGUGGAAGUUUUGGAUCCACUUACAAGGCUAUGGUAUUGACAGGACCAGUUGUUGUAGUGAAAAGAUUUAAGCACAUGAACAAAGUUGGCAAAAAAGAGUUCUAUGAUCAUAUGAGAAGGCUUGGAAGGUUGACACAUCCUAAUCUACUCCCUCUAGUUGCAUUCUAUUAUGGAAAAGAUGAGAAGCUUUUGAUACACGAUUUUGCAGAAAAUGGCAGCUUGGCAAGUCAUCUUCACGGUAUGAUAUGCGUAACAUUAAUUCAUUUUAUAAUCUAUUUCAUAAUAUUAAAGAAACAUCAAAUGUAACUAGUAAUUUUGAUUGUGAUUGUGCAAAAUUAUGCCUCAUGUUUAUGAUGAUUUGCAUUAUAAAUGCAGGUAGACAUUGUGAGUUGGAUUGGGCAACACGUUUGAAGAUAAUCAAAGGAGUAGCUAGAGGUUUAGCUUACCUUUACAGAGAAUUUCCGGACGAAAAGUUACCACAUGGACAUCUAAAAUCAUCGAAUGUUGUGUUAGACCAUUCAUUUGAGCCUUUUUUAACUGAGUAUGGACUUGUGGAAGUAACUGACUUGAACCAUGCUCAACAGUUCAUGGUAGGCUACAAGUCCCCAGAGGUGAGUCAACAUGAAGGGCCGAGCGAGAAGAGCGACGUAUGGUGUUUAGGGAUACUUAUAUUGGAGCUAUUGACAGGGAAGUUCCCUGCAAAUUAUUUGAGGCAUGGGAAGGGAGCAAAUGAAGAUUUAGCAAUGUGGGUGGAAUCUAUAGUGAGGGAUGGGUGGAGUGGAGAAGUGUUGGAUAAAAGCAUAGGUGGUGGGAGUAGAGGUGAAGAAGGUGAGAUGUUGAAGCUGUUGAGGAUUGGAAUGAGUUGUUGUGAAUGGAGUUUGGAGAAUAGGUUGGGUUGGAAGGAGGCAGUGGCAAAGAUUGAGGAGUUGAAGGAAAUGGAUCAUGUGGGGGUUGGAGGAGGAGUUCAGAGUCAAGACUCUGACUUGUCUCUUUGAUUCUUACUUGUCUUGCUUCUAUAUUGUGUGUAUAUGAUCAUUAUAAAUCAUAUUUUUUGCUACAAAAUUUAUUAAAUAAGAUGUUUUUGGUUUUUCCAUUUAUAUUUCAAACUUGUCUUAAAAAAAGUUGUUCAAAAUUUUAGUAAAUGAACCUUUUAUAGUGUUUUAAACUUGUCUUAAAAAAAUCGUUCAAAAAAUUUAAUAGUUUAAGGAUAGUUAAACAAACUUUAUUUUAGCAGGGACUAAAAUUAGAAGUAAUUUUUUUUUUUUGUAGGUAUUAAAAAACCUAUUAAAAUUAAGUAAGGACUAAACUUAAAAGUUCUCAAUUUUAUAGGGACCAAACACAUAUUUAACCCUAUUAUCAAUAUAAAUUAAAUGGUUAAAUAUGUUUUUGGUCCCUAUAAAUAUGUCAAUUUUUUGUUUUAGUCCCUCUAAAAUUUUCCUUCAACUUUUAGUCCCUAUAAAAUUUUCAAUCACUACUUUUGGUCCCUAUUUUUAAUUUAAUUUUUGUAUUUUUUUUUUUAAUGAAAUUGUGUAGAAAUGUGUAAAAUAUUCUAAAAAAACUUCCUUUAAAAAAUUAAUUUUUUUUUAACAAAACACAAAUUAAAUAUGAAUUUUUAACCAUAAAAAUUAUAAAAAUUCAUAUUAAAUUCAUGGUUUGUUAAAAAAUUCUAAAUUUUUUUUUGCAGUGAUUCUUAUAAUAUUUUGAAUUUAUCUGAAAAAUUUUAUUAAAAAAUAUGAAUUCUACAUAUGAAUUUACUUUAAAAGAGGGACCAAAAGUGAAGAUUGAAAAUUUUAUAGGGAUUAAAAGUUGAAGGAAAAUUUUAGAGGGACUAAAAUGAAAAAUUGACAUAUGUAUAGGGACCAAAAACAUAUUUAACCCUAAAUUAAUUACAUAAACAAAAAAUCAUCAUAAAAUUUCCCGUGCAAGGCACGAGUUUCAAGUUUCAACCUAGUAACUAACAUAACCACGUUGAGACAAUAUUGAGUAUUGAUGUUGGCACAUUUGGUUUGGCUGAGACACACGAGUAAUUUACCUAAACGUCUCUCGGCAGUUAACUGACGAAGUUUUAGAAAACCGGCUGAAGUUAACUGCUGAGGAAAAUCUCGACAGUUAACUACCGAAGCAAUUUUUAAAAAGAAAACUCCUUCGGCACUUAAGUACCGUGAAGCAUGAAUAUUGAUUUUAAAAAGAAAACUCCAAUGAAUGCUGCAAAUGUUGAUGGAUACCGAACUUGAUGACAAUCAGAUGGAUUUUGCCCAAACUGCUCACACGAGUGGUAAAGAUCUCUUGAAGUUGUAGCCUUUCAUCCACAUGCAAUUCUAGAUGAAGUUCUAUCACUAAGAAGAUGAUUGGGAAGUCACACGUAGAUAUGAAGUGGUGGAAUGUGUCGGUUUCUUUUUUUGUUCUACAAUAUGAGUGUUUUGGAAAAGUUAUGAAAGAGAGAUGCUUCAAAACUUUUAUCUCAAAUUUUAUUAUUUAACCUUAAUGAUGUGUCAAAGAUUAAUUGGAUGUGCCCAAAAGUGAUGUGUUGAGUAUGUGACUAACUAAGAGUUUCUCAUGAGGAGGGAAUGUGCUUCAUCACUAACGCCUCGUUUUCCGCAACUUAAAAAAAAAACAAGCAUGCGCAAACAAAAGAUGAUCAUAGCAGCAUUUCUAUUUCCUACAAAUUUUGACGUCUCUAUUCUCAACUUCUCUGAUUAACAUUGAUAAGCGCUCUAUCAACACUCAAUAUUAUUUAUGAGUGUGCUUGCUUCAAAGCAGUUGACUUGAUUAUUGUUGGUCGUGAUCAUAACUUACAUACUUAUGUUACUGACAUCCUUUAUAUUAGAGAUCCUAUACAUAAAAAUGAAAAUAUAACAUUGGUGCAUGUUGGGAACAAAAUAUGUGUGCAAAUUUUAUGGCUAAGGAAAGAUCACAUGCAAGGUGCUCUGCUCACUAAAACUGUCCUUCGUCUGGCAUUCACUCAUCCUGAGAGCAAAUGUUUGCAUCAAUAUGAGAGAGUUUAUAUGAUAAAAUUUUGAAAACUCGUGGAUAUUUUUAAAAUAUAUUUUAAUGUUAAUAUAUUGUUUCUAUUAAAUAAUUUUUAUUUUAUAUGCAAAUUAGUGGGAUUGAGAGAUUAAUUUAUGACAUAUUAGGAAAAAAAUAGCAAGAUUAAGUGCGGAGAAUAAACGUUUUUCCUAUAUUUUUGUCAUAAGAGAGGAGAAUAAAUUAUUUUCCUAUAUUUAUGACGUAAUAUAAUCCCUAAAAAAAAAAAAUGAUGAUGUAAUAUAUUGUUGGGUUAAAUAAUGUUUACGUCCCUAAAAUGUUACAAAUUUUGAUUUUGAUCCUUAAAAAAUAAAACGAGAUGUUUUCAUCCUCAUAAGAAAUUAUUUUGUUUUCCUAAAAAAAAAAUUAUCUUGUUUUUGGUUUAUGAUGACCAUUUUAUGUUCAUAUUAAUGUCGAUAUUAUGAUUUUUUAUGUUCAAAAUAUGUCAAACGUUGUAUCCAUUUAUUAUAUUAAAGGGUAAAUUAAGUUUUUGCUCCCUAUAAAUAUCUGCAGUUUUGUUUUAAGUCCCUACAAAAACAAAUCACACUUUUUAGUCCUUACAAAAUUUUCCGUUAAUGUUUUCAAUCCCUAUAAAAUUUUCCGUCAGUAUUUUUAGUCCAUAUAAAAAAAUUUCAUCAACAUUUUUUGUCCCUAAAAUGCUUAAGGAAAAUGUCACAGGGACUAAAAAGUGUGAUUUUAUUUUGUAGUGACUAAAAACAAAACUGUAAAUAUUUAUAGGGACUAGAAACUUAAUUAAAAAACAAAACAAUUUUUUAUAAUGAAAAUAUCUCAUUUUAUUUUUUAGAGGCUAAAGUCAAAAUUCUUUAUAUGUGUAGGGAAAAAAAACUUAUUUAACCCUACAUUUUUUUUUUAUAUUACCAGUAGAUUAUUCUUUUUUUUUUUUAAUGGAAGGAUAUUUUCAUUAGACAGAUUCUAGAAAUGAAUCAAAUGCCACAACCUCGGAAAUAGAAGGUGGAUCCUUUUCAAUCCAAACAACAUUUGAAUUAGACGUUAGAGCAAAUUUAGUUAAAUAAUACGCGGCUUGAUUUGCCACACGCCUAACAUGAAUGAAACUAAUAUAAUUAAAACAAUUCGGGUAACGACUGAUUAUUUAGAUAACAAAUAGUCCAAAAAAAUUUUAUUGGGUGUGUUUGUUUCAAGGUAACAAAUUAUAUUUCUGGGAAUAUCAUAUUUCUAGGAAUAUCAUUCCUAGUUCCUACUCAUGUGUUUGGUAAAAAUUUAGAUUUUAUGGAAUUUUUUUAGAAAUUAUUUAAUUAAAAAAGUAAAAAUGAAAAUAAAUGUGAGUAGUAGUAAGAAUUUAUAGCAAGUUGAGUUUUAUUCCCAUGAAAAUGUAAGAUUCUCAUCCUUUAAGCAUGGGAAUAAGAACAGAAGCAUGGAAAUAAAAACGGAAGAAAUCAUGUAUAAAUAACAUUUCUGAGAAUAAAAUUUUCAAAACAUGAAACAAAGAUAGGAAUGUUGCAUUUCCAAUCUCACAUUCCCGGAAAUCAUAUUAUAAAUCUUGAAACAAACACACAUAUAAUAAGGAUUUGAAUAUAAAAUUUCAUAGUAAACAAUUUUAAUGGUUGAACUUCAACUCCUAUAAAUAAUGUCUCCCAUAGCUUUCAUUUUCAACCGAACUAUUUUAACUCUUUAAAAAGCAAACUCCAUAAUAAUAAAGCUUUAAUUUACGCGUCUUCGUGAGUUUAACUCAAUUAAUAGAGUUAUAUAAUAUAUGUAGGGUCGGACACCCCCACCAAUUAUUCUUAAAAAAAGAAUUUCUAACCACCUAAACUACUUGAUAAAUAAAAGUUACAGCUUAUGUGGAUAAUUUAUAAUUUUUUCUCGUGUUUUAUUUUAUAUUUAGUUAUUAAUGAUAUGCAAGUUUCUCAAAAAGGAAAUGAUCGAUUUUUUUUUUUUUAUAAGUUUCUAUAAAAUUGAUUAAGGACGUAUACAAUAUUCGGAAAACCAUUAAUUUUUUUAUUUUUUUUUAAUAAAGAAAACCAUUAAUUUCGUAAAAAAUGUUAUUAAAAUCAACAUUAAAUAUUAGUAAAACCUAGUUAAUACGAAAUUGAUGAAUUUCAAAUUAACAUUAAUUAGCAAAGCAAAACAGGAAUACUCCUGUUAAACAUAAUUUUGGGCGUCUCUUUGCAUUUUUUUUUUUUUUGUCAAAUAGUUUAGUGGUUAGAAUUCAGCUUUUGCAAGCUGAAUAAAUGGGGUGUUCCGGGUUCGAAUCCUAGACCCUGCAUAUAAUAAUACAUGUUCCAGCAAACUGAACUAAGCUCACGGGAACACCUACAUAUUUUUUUAUUCUAGUCUAUUAAGUACAGUCUAUUAUGACCCAAUUAAUUUUCAUAUUAAUGUAUGCAUCAAUUAACUUUAUAAUUUUUUUUAGAAAAAAAUAAAAAAAAAUUUAUACUAGUACUAAACAGUAUUCAUUUUUUUAGCAUAACUGUAGCAGGGCCUUCCUAAUGUUUCGGUAGCCACACCAUAGUGAAAAAAAUUUCCUUAAAUAAUUAACCUAAUGACCAAAUAACACUUAGUAAACUUAAAAAAAAAAAAAAAAAUCUAUUUUUAAGAUAAUUAAAAUAAACUAACACAAACUAAUGAACUAAUAACAUCUCAUGAGGCAAUUUUGUUUUUUUUUUAGUUUAUCGAAAAAACAACAUAGACAGAUUUCUAAAAUGUGUUUGACAUGUGUGCCAUACUGUUUUUUACAUUUCUUCCCAAACCGUGCUUAUAUUAUCUUGCACUAAAAUGCAUAAAUAAACAAACGAUUUUUUUUUUUCACUUUAAAUACAUAUCAAUGAAUUUGGGUAGUAACUAAGUACCUAAAAAAAAAUUUGGUAUAAAAAAUUGGUCAUUGUGUCAAAAAAAAUUGGUAUAAAAAAAGACAAAAAAAAAUUCUCGAAAAGAUCUUAUAAUUAGGGACGGAGGUAGUAUGAUUUAUUGCCGUUUUUCGUUGCUAUUGGCACAAUGACCAAUAAAUAAUCAAAUAAACAUACACAUGAAAAGACUCAAUAUCGACAACUCUUAUUCAAUUCAUUUAUUUUAAAAUUUUGAUCUCAACUAUUUUUAUUUCAAUUUUUAAUAUAUUUCUCUCUAACUUUAAUUAAUUAAACACUUUUAUAAUUUUAAAUAUUUUUCUAAAUAAGUCAUCAAAAGUAAUUUUCUUAUUGAUAUUUUUUAAAAUUUACGUUUAACAUUUUCCCUUUGCUACCUAAGAUUCCCUUAAAAUACAUUGUCCAAUUAACAUCAUUUAGUAUUAUAGUUAUAAAUUCCCUCAAAAAUAAAAUAAAAUAGUAUAGUUAUAGAUCAUCCCGACUUCAUUUUGCAAGCUCAUGCGUUCAAAGUAAAUUGUAUAAAUUUUACAGUGCAAUCAUACCAUGGAAUGGAGACCUAACAAAACAUAUUGCAUUGCCAUGAGCCGGUUGUGUUCAUCAGAAGUUCAAAACCCAUUCACCUUUAUACCCUAAAAACCCCACAUCUACCUAGGCAUGACAACAAAAUUCAUAUCCGUGGUUACCCACCCGAACCAAACCUAAUUUGAUGGAUUUUUUCCGUUUUGAUUGGGUUUGAGUUUUCCCCUAUUUCAAAACACGAGUAUGGGAUGGGUAAAGGGCAUACAGGUAUCCACCCCGAACUCAUACACAAAUCCGUCCCGAAUGCAGAAAGUUAUUUUAUGUUAUAUGUCAUGUUAUUUUGUUUGAUAAUUGCCGUGUUAUAAAAAUUACCAUUAAAAUUUAAAGAAGCAAUUAAAUUAAUCGGUCAAACAAAUGUUAAAAUGAGCAUAUUGCUGGAUGAUGUAUUACAAUAUUUUUCUAGGGGUUGCAAAAAAACUUCUAUUUUUUAUUAAAAAAAUUAUUCAAUAUGGGGACGAGGAUGGGGCGGAGAUACCCGAACCUGUCGGGGAUGUGGAUGAGAUUCAAUUUCUCAUCCCCGUUGAAUAUGUGUAAGAUAACGAAUAAGUAUAUGAAAAUUGGAUAUAUAAACGGAGAAUAUAAAAUCCGUCCCCACCCUACCCAUUGUCAUGCCUAAUCCUACCACAGUUUGAAUAAGUUCAUGGUAUAAAGCAGCCAAUUCAUAAAAGUAUAUGGAUCGGAUCUUUAAAAGGGAAGAAAAAUAAACAAAAGAGCAAAUACCCAAGAAAGAAUAUAUAUUGCCUAGUCAAAUUGUCAACAUUUCCACUUACUGCAACAUAACCAAAUGGGGUCAAUAUGGCGUGUGACUUUGAAGAAAUCUCAUCUCUCGUCACAAAGAGAGUGCUUUUCUAAAAUAAUCAUCAAUUACUAUAUUUUUAUUGGAUUUUGAAGGAUAUACUUUUAGAGGUAUUCUUCUAUAGUCACAAGACUAAAUUAAUAGUAUUUGGAUACACACAUAAAAAGAUGGUUUUUAAAAUAUUUAAUCAUUUUUUUUAUUAAUUUCCUCUUAUUAUUAAAAAAAUAUUUCUUUAUGUGUGUAUAACCAAACACUUUUUAUUUGGCCAUAUGACCAUAUUAGAAUUUCUCAUAUUUUUAUUGGAUGUUACCUAAUUUCUUAUUUUAAAUUUAGUGGGCCCAUGUGGUCCUUAUUUAUUUAUUUAUUUUUGUGACAAAAAACCAUGCGGUCCUUGUUAUUCUUCCACAUCGCAACUUUCUUUUCUAUCUUCUCUCUAGUUAGUUGUUAGUUGUGAUGGAACCGUCCUUAAUUUGUAACUGCACCAUGGAAGCCACGUAAGAGACGUACCACCUGAAAACGAAAAUUUGUAGGUUAAGAACCAAGCGGUGGUGAUGACUAAGGUGUGAAAGUGUGUUUAAAAUUUGAAACAAUUUAUGUCUUACAUUUUAUGAUUUUGUAAGAGUUGAGUUAGAUUCAAUCUUAAGUUAUCAUGUCAACACUAUUGGACUAUUCAAAUCACAUUUGAAAUGUCUAAUUUUAAGCGCGAGAAGAUGUGUUUUGAACUCUUACGAUUAAUCAUAAAUCUUUAAAAAUUGUUUAUAAAUAAAUACAAUUUUAUUGUCGAUUUUAUAAGAGUUGAGUUACGCCAAACUUAAGUUACAAGUCUGCCACAAUUCACCGGUCUUCAUUUCUCUCUGUAAUAGGAAAAGUCUACCGCAAUCCCGAUCAAAAUGUGCCAAGUGAUUAGCUCAUAGUUAUCAUACGAAAUACAGUCAAAUUUGACGUCUCUAGAGUCUAAAAGAUCACUUUUGACAACAAAAAAAAAAACAUAUACAGAUAAUUUAGAAAGUGACAUUGAUAGUUUGCAUACAUUGUAUGACUAGAAAUAAUCGCACAUAAGCACUUUAAUAAGAGAGGUGCACAUUAUAUUAUAUAUAGAGCGAGAGAAGAGACAGAGGAAACAAACUUGUACAACAAUAUAAUAUCAUGGGAAGCCAAGAUGUGAAGUUGGUAGGCUUUUGGGUGAGUCCAUUUGUUAAGAGGGUUGAGUGGGCCUUGAAGCUCAAGGGUGUAAAUUAUGAGUAUGUAGAAGAAGAUAUCUUCAACAAAACUCCUCUCCUUUUGGAAUUGAACCCGGUUCACAAGAAGGUUCCGGUUCUUGUUCAUGCUCAGAAACCAAUUGCAGAGUCAUUCAUUAUCCUUGAGUACAUUGAUGAAACAUGGAAGCAAUCUCCACUUUUGCCUCAACAUCCAUAUGAAAGAGCUCUUGCUCGUUUUUGGGCUGAUUUUGCUGAACAAAAGGUAACUUAUAUACUAAAUCCUUUUCUUUAUCCUAUUUAAUUUAUUUUGAGUUUUUGGUUUAAAAAAACUAAGUAGGAAUCAACUUAUUGGCAUCUUUUUUACCAUUUAUUUUCAUUUAAAAUUUCAUCAAGGAUGUGAUAGUAUCGCACUCAAUAUCUCUUUUGAGUUGUUUUAUAUUAAGCUUUUAGAUAGAGAAAUGAAUAGUUUUGCGACAUACACAAGAUUUAUUUUCAUCAUUAGGUCAUUAAAUUCCAUUAUAUCGUAACUAAUCCAAUGAUGAGAGUUAUUGAUUCAAUGGUAAAAACAAACUUGUGCACAAUACAUUACAGAAAAGAGUAAUAUUAUUUUUAAUAGAAGUAAGUAUAUUCAAUAACUUACUUUUCAAUGCAUGCGUUGUGCAUAUGUCAUAGCUUUUGAAUGCAGCAUGGAUAGCAAUGUGUAACAGUGGAGAAGAACAGGAAAAGGCUUUGAAGGUAGCUAGAGAAGCAAUAGAGAAGAUAGAAGAGGAGAUAAAGGGGAAGAAAUUCUUUGGAGGGGACAAUAUUGGGUACCUUGAUCUUGCUCUUGGAUGGAUUUCUUACUGGCUUCCUGUGUUUGAGGAAGUUGGGUCUAUGCAGAUAAUAGACCCAUUGAAAUGUUCAGCCAUCACUGCAUGGAUGACCAAUUUUCUAAACCAGCCUGUGAUCAACGACAGCUUGCCC
rnacentral:lncRNA from 1 species